rnacentral:sRNA from 1 species
GCAGAUUAUGGAAUACCUGUCUUCGGAA